GUAUGGUGUAUUUGCAUGUAAUAAGUAUGAAAUGGUUACUUAUUGUCCAGAUGGAGUAAAGUAUAGCGGUAAAACACAUGAAGAUGGAAGAAAAAAAACUGUAUUUUUACAUACAUUGUACACAAGUACAACAGCACAACACUACAUACAACAUGCUGUACAAAGGGCGGUAUAUACAUUUCCUGUACACUAUAACAGGCUUAGGCCCGUACCCCCACCUAGUGUGGGGGCAAGGGGACGGGCCGAAGGCCACCUUAUAAACUGGCGUAUCGUGCGGUAGAUUAGGGAUGCGGUACAAACGCUAAAAAAAACAUGGAAUGCUACGGUCGUCAAAAUACAAAGGGACUGAAAUUAUGCUUGCGCUGGCUCGGCCCACUGUAUAACUUUUAUCAUACUUGGGCCUCAUCUCGCAGCUUCUCCAAAUCUUGCUGGGCCGGACGCAGACUCCGUCGCUCGCGGGCGGUGCUGCCUGCAUCGCGACUCCGCUCCUGUUGCCCAGCUCACGCCCGCCGCCGCCGCCGUCGCGCGCCGCCGGCCUGUUCGCACCGCCACAAACCCAUGGCGAGGGAGGAGGAGAAAAGAUAGAGCAGAGCGAAUCUGCAACGCGCCCACCAUUUUUUGAUGCUGUAAGCUCUCACGGGUUCUCCCGGAUGCGCGCCCGCCGGACGUG
rnacentral:lncRNA from 1 species